rfam:Taphrina deformans PYCC 5710 genomic scaffold, scaffold00323
AAGAGUGUAGUUUAAUGGUAGAAUAAGUGGUUCCAAACCAUUUGAUGAGAGUUCAAUUCUUUCCAUUCUUG